ensembl:lncRNA
UUUAGCCACUAAUAGAGCUGACUACUUAAGCAUUAAAAGUUGUAAACACUUAAGGCCAUCUUGAGGCUUAAUCUAUAAGUAAUAAAUGGGUUAAAGAUUACGUUUUUACACUUUGCCUUUCAGAUUGAUCUAGUUGCUUAUUCUCCUUUUUAUCCGGUCUGUUAGGGUUAUAUUCAAAAGACAGAUAUGAGAGUCUUAUUGAUCUUCUCAUGUAAAUGUGUGUACACAUCACAGCGUGCACAACUGUUCCUUGAAAGAAGCAGACUUGUAAAAUGAACUAAGCUGAAGACAUAAUGUAAAACAUCAACAUCGCUAAUCUUUCCGAAACAUAGUUGUAAAAAGUUGACCUAAUAUUUUCUUUUACACUAUCUUGUAUAUUUUCGUUACUGAAUUUCAUAUAUGCACGGGUAAGUCAUUUCUGCAAUCUUUAUUAUUGCAGUUAAAAGUGAUUUAUAAAACCCAUAACAUUUUUAAAGCUUGCUGAUGUCUGCAAAGCAAUGAGGAUGCCAGAUGUGUAACGUGGGGGGCAUAUUUUUAGUUGUAUUGCAUGGUGGCACAAAAUAAUUGUGGUAUUUCAUUAAAUACAAAGCUUAUUCUCUAGUAAAUCAGCCGUUUUUGCGCAUUGUGUGGUAAAUACUUGACCUAACCCCGAAACAAGAUUUCUACUGUUUGCUCCGUUGCUUCGAGAGGGCGGUGUUUUUUUUCUUCUUCUUUUUUUUAAGCCACGGGGACUAAUGGCAGUCUGAGUCAACCGAAGCCACAAAACAACCACGUAAGACCAGCCAUUAGCUCCACAUUUAACCAUGAAAUGAAAGCUCAACAGGCGGCAACAGUUCAUUGCAGGUCAAGAUGCUGAUGCUCUGCCUCUCCGCUCCUUCUCUCUCUCUCUCUCGAUGCUCCUCAUUGAGCGGUUUCACAUCAAUGUUUAACCCAGCCAAGUAAAUCUUGCAGCAAUGGACGUCAUAACGAGGCAGCAUCCAAAACAAUUUGAUGUAUUAUUAUUUUAUCAAUAAGCCCAAGCACACCUAUGAAAUACAGAAUAUGCUCAUAUAUCAGAACACAAACAAAAAGGCGUGCAGGAAUGUAGUGUGCAAACACGUCACUACAACCCACACUUCUCCUCCUCGCUCACUCUGAUUGACAAUAUUCCAGUCCAACACCCUGUGGAUAUCAUUUGCAGGCUCGAGCGCCAACAUUGUUAAGUUCCAAUGUUGGCAUGAAACCACAAAUGAGAUGGGAGUCAAGAGCGGAAAAAACAACCCUGUGCACUCCAUCUGCCAAACAAGGCCUUGGCAACACACGUCAGCUCUAAGAUGGCAGCACCGUGAGCAGCAGGGUUCCCCGUUUCAUGGCUAUCAGAGCCUCUCUCCACGUUGUGUUGUGUGACCAGACACCCACUGCUUUGAUUUCAGGCCACAGUUUCCACUUAGAAUUGAAGUGACGGGAAGAAAUAUUCCCGUCAUUGCACAACACAGAUCAGUAUUUUUGAUCUGGUUUUCAUCAGGUUUUCCUCCAAAAAUAAGAAGCAGCUCUGUUGAGAAUCACAACAUCACACUUAUGCAUGUAGAUAGGGAGGAACACUCCUUCUUGGUAUUGUUUAAUUACCAGCACUGCCUUUAACACCACUGGUAAUCAUAUACAUUGAUUUACCAGGUAAGUUGUUAUCACUCAGUGGUUUGUGUCGUAUUUGUGAAGUAUGUUUCUUGGUCUCCAUGGGUAACUGCUGUAUGUUUCCUCCUAUGUCAUGCUAUUAUAUAUGGAGCGUCACGGGUGUCAAAUCUCCACAUUAGUCUAUUCUCAUUGAAAUGUGUUUCCCUGAGCCCAGAUAAUCAGAGGUGUUGUUAAGCAAAACAACGUUAGCUAUACGUUUCAGUAAAACCAGAUACCUAAACAUCAGCUGCAGCUAUUUAGCUGCUAUAACAUACAGAAUGUGAUUUAACUUAACUUCAGCAAAACUUAGCAACUCAUUAUUGACCCUGAAAAUAAUGUACAUGCCCCCCCGCCCCCUCUCCCCAAUGUCAAACCGAACUCUGGGAAAAUUGGCGUUAUAAUGAGUUCAAAAAAUAAUUCAAGCACCGUGUCAAAAAGUCAAACCACAGACACAGGGCAGUCCGGCUGUGUGUUUCCUCGUGUGAGUGUGUGUUUUUGUCUAAACUCCAUACGCACAUACAAAUCUCAGUUUUAAUGGAAUCGGAGUUUGAAAUGCUAAACUCAGGCCUCGCAGCAAUGCCUUGGGGCUCCGCCAAGAAGCCAUCCUUGUCCCUUUGACAUGUUAUUGUGUUGACUGCACCACCACAAAACUGCAUGGUCAUCUCUUUCGCUUUGCGUCCCAUGAGAGUUAUGAGACAGACUUAAAAAUAUAAUAUAUAUCUCUAAUGCACUAGUGAGGCAACACACAGCCACAACUCUUCCCCCUAUAAAAAAAAAGCUGUAACGGUACAGUUUGCCUCUAAUAUUCAGGUAUGUUGUAUGACAUUUUUAUUGUAUUUAUUCGCAUGUAUUAUUAAAAAAGUAAAAUGGUCUCUGGCAAUGAUGUAUUACAUCACAUACAAAAGCCACAAAUAACCUUUUAGCAAGUGCAUUUAAAAAACAAAUCUCAACACGUAUGUUAUAUUUCCAUCUACGUUCUAGUACAGGUGUUCCUACAAUUAUGUACACAGCAUUGUUAAAAUUUCAAGUUGUUGAACUUUUUCUAAACUCUUAUUCAGGGUAAAAACUCUUCACUGAUCAAUUGAGUCUAACAAGGAAGAAAAUAAUGCAGGCACAACAGAGUUACCAAAGGUCCAUGAAGACAGUGGACAAAUGAACAUCGGAACGCCCACGCUGACAAUGAGGAAGAGCUUCUGCAGAUGCACAGUCUGGGUUUAAGGUCAGCAGCAACAAAUGGUGAUAACAAAACGUUUUUUGUUCAGAGUAUAAACACCGGAAGCCCACCACAGCACCACACGAACUACACUGACUAUUUUGCACAUUCGUGUGGUUUUUAGUUUUGGAUUGGGGUUAAAAAAAUAAAGAGUCACAGUCAUCUGUUGUGUUUUAGUAAGGCUGCUUUUUUAGUUUUUUGAUUGCAAAAUGUAUUUUUGAUCGUCACGAGGUGAAGCAGAUUUCUUUCCCAAAUAAACACUUUAACACUCUAACACUCUAAACACUCUAACGUAACAAACCGUGUAGAAAUCAUACCUGCUAUAAUGAAACAAUCGGCUGUUGCUUUUUGGCAUUUAUCCAAGUUCAUUAUAUAACACGGACCAAUGAUACGGACUGACUGUGGUCAUACUUGUUCCAACUAGACAAAAAAUCAAUAAUGCAAAGAUGUUUGUAUGAAUCGGUGUGGUUCUGUGUCAGCAUUGUGUGCAUUUUAACAUUUUUUUUUCAAACGUAAGACACCUGUGUCACCCUUUCAAAAGCAUCAGAAAGCGCAAAAGAAUUGAAACAUAUUUUCUAUGGAUAUAUAACAUACACUUUUCUUUAUUGAGCCUUGCACUCCCCCAUGUUAAACUACCACACGCUCAGGUCUACCAAAGUCAUUUCAGAUGGAAGAAGUAAGAUUUUAAAUUAAAGCAAUUACAUGAGCACAUUUAAAGUUCAGUGGCACAGAUUUAUUACAAAAGAUGACAUUCCGAAUCUUUCCUCAGGUAAGAUAAACUACAAUAAGAAUGACCCUGGGCUCCAGAUAUCUUGAAUAUUUAAUCCGGGAUCUUUAAUUGGUCCAUCUUUUUGUUGAGUAUAUUUAUUCUUAACUUCACACAGUUGCAGAAUUCUGUAAAGCUAUGCCUGCCCUACAGAGACCUCCCUGGUUUGAAUAAGUUUCAUUCUUGGACAAAAUGCAUAAUUGGUGACACAUCUUUACUGACGCCUGACAGGAAGUGGGUGGCCCUCGCUAAAGGCUUUCUUGUACAAGUAAAAAAACAAAAAAACAUGUUGAUCUAUUUGGAGGAGAGAACAAAGCCUAAUUAUAAGAAAUAAAGAAGUAGACUAUAAUACUACUGGAUAUUCACCUCGAGCAUUAAACUCAGAGUCAAAACUUUGUUGAAUGUAAUUGCUUUACCUGCAGCCGCACGUUGACUUUGACGCACUUUAAAAAGAAAAGCCUGCUCCUCAAGCAAAGCCUCCUUCCCCUUUCUUUCAUUGUAUUUCUAGACUGCACCUCGAUCUUCUUGUCAACAGUGUGGACCUGGAAGCCGGUCCUCAGGCUCCCGGCGCGAGCAAGGCUUACUCAGUAUGAUGAGUCUAGUUUUUCAUUAUUCUGUGUUACCCAGUAAACAAAAUCAAACAUUUAUGAGAGUUUUAUGCAAGGCAUCGGGGGGACCUGUGUCUCCGUCUAGAUUGAGAAAAUAAUUUACCUCUCCGUACCAAAGCUUCCCUGCUGUGGGCACUGGGGUCUCAGAGAGGCUGUGUUGUUGGCUCGCUGCCAGUGAAGUCAGCGGUCGAAAUGGCUUGAAAUAUACCUUUGAACCCCCCCCUCUCUCUCUCUUAUUUUUGUUCUAUCCCUGCAUCUACUUCCACAUGAGUCUUUAUUUUACAUCAUUACUUUUUCGUCCUUUUUUCACGUGGCGUCUACGGUCGUUAAUCAAAAGGUGAAGGCAUUUACGGCCGUGCUACGGAGGUUCGUCUUCCAACAUCCAAAAUGUUGCUCACAAAGCAGUAAUGUUCCAGGAGAAUGAUUUGCCUAACAGUCAUUAACCACAUUAUUGAACUACUUAACUCCGAAAGUGAUAUCAGCGACCUCAGUGGAAGGGGCAGACGAGACUCUCUUGUCUUUUUUGGCAGUGCUCCUGGGAGUCCAACCAACUCCAAUCCACCCUUCUACGUCAGGCCAAAGUUGAUACGGAGCCAUCAAUUGCAUUAAGCACUGGCUUGAUACACGAAACUAAACCUCCCCUUCAGAACAGGUCUCUGAACCCGAUAAGAGUUGGCAAGGAAAUAGACGGAGUUAUAAUUUAUUGUUUGUCGUCGUCUUUAUCUCAGCCUUCCUUCUCUUUAUAGAUGACUCCGGACAUCUCUACUUUGUGACUCAAUUACAGACAGUGGGAAGUCUGGGAUGAAGUCAUCCUGUAAAAGGAGAUUUAGUUUAUUCUAGACUUAAAGCGCAAACAUGGGAGGUUACAUAUAUAUUGAAUGUUUGUUGUAUUAAUGAUUGUUGUAUUGAAAAUAGGAGCACCUUCUCUGUUAUUCCUACGAACAUAACCUACUUUGUAUUUACGGUAGAUCUUCAGUUCUUUUCUGUCUAAGCAAUCAUUUUUUUUGCGUACUUGAAUUUGCUUAAAACAUUUUCCUCUUUGCCGAAAUUGGCAAAGAAGAUCAGAAAGACUCAAUAUUAGAAGAAAAUAUACACUCCAGGAGGAUGAUCAUAUUCGACAAGUGCAUGAGAUUGCAAGAUUCUGACUAACAACUGUAUUUCGCCAUCUUUCCAAAAAAUAUGUGAAAGCUAGAGCAAAAUGGUAAUUGUCUGCAUGAAUAACCAAAAAAUGUGGUGAAAAAGCUCUGUUUGAUAUUAUCUUUUAAGGUUUGCUGUCAGUCUCUAGUUGCAAUCAUAAAACAGACAAAUAAAUAAGCCUGAUGUAGAACAUAGUGUUCCCAGCGCACCCUCAUAGGGGUAUUUUAUUUUGUAGUUGUUUGAGCUUCUGUACAGAUUGGUCGGUUGAACAGACACAAUGUACUAGAGACUUCUACAAAUAUAGAUCAUGACAGGCUUUUAUAUUUAUAACUUUUUUCUCAUUUGUCUCAAGACAAUCCUGGAAAGGAAAUACAAAAGUAAAUACUGUCACAAGUGUCGCCUUCCAGUGGCUCACUAAAUUAGUAUUUAUGUCUGUAAAACAGAUUCAUGGUUGGAUGAAAAUCGAGGGAAAAUAAAACAAUUUCCAAGUGUUCUGAAAAGUGCCCCUCAACAGCCUCCUCUUGCAUGUAGAGUUUGGGUCAGGCAUUCUUUCACCAGCCCCUUUUUGCAGAUGGUGAUUAGAUCUUUAAUUGUCAAGGGAAGGCGUGACUGAGAAGCAGGAAAGAGGAAAAAGGGAAAAACAGAUUUUUAAUCAUGGCCCACUAAAUUAAGAUUCAAGGUUCCGUCUUGUAUCUCCGGCUGAUCUAUUCCCCUCUCCCUCACAGUGUCUCUCUCUCUCUCUCUGAUUGUAAUACUCAUUCAGAGAGAUACGUCCGUCAUAUCCAGUCCCCAUACAUGGGCGCAUUUGACGGCCCAGGACGAGAAAGAGUGCCGACUAAGUUGGACUCAUUUUAGAAAGAGCAGAACAAAAGUGACAAAUCUGAGGAUUUUGGCAAAAAAAAAAAAAAAAAGAGUUGUUGAAAUACUCUGUAUACCACGUGAGGCCGCUUCACUGACUGUCCAUGAGAUUCAAAUGUGACACAAGGCAGAAACCCCAUAUUGAAUAUUGUGUGGAGAAAAAAUGCAAAGAUUCUCAGUGGCUCAUUCAGCGCCACAGGGUGGAUAUAAUUAUUGGAUAUCACACCGCUCCCGACGUGUCUAAAAAUGCAAUUGGAUCCACAGACAUGAGGAUUGUGCUGAGACAUGAUUGCUCCACAUGUCCAUCUGUCUGAAGAUGUGGGAGGGUGGUUUGCAAGCCAAGUCUGGACAUGCACAUAACGACACGCUAUCAAAGUGUCCAUCAGGCAAAUAUGCGUUUGUGCGUCUUCAUUUUCCUUGGCUGUUCUCCCAAGAGUAACUUUUUAGAGGGCACGGACAAACACCAUAAAAUUUAUGAGGCGUUGCUGAGGUAGAUGUUUUAAAGUGUUGGAUUUUCCAGAUGCAUGAUGCCUCUUGCCUUAAAGUUAAAUUACCUGCGUGGCCACGAGGAAACUGAUGAAAGUCAGGUGUUUAAUUAUUUGAUCAAAAUGAGUAGAUUAGGUUUAGCAUUGAACUUCACAAACUAGCGAGGGUUGAUUAAAGACACUUCUUUUGUGUGGAGGAGAGAGGACCCAAACGCAAGAGCAGGUAAAGUCUGUUUUAAUCAACUUAGAAUGUCCAAAAACAAAAUGGCACUAAAGGCUUAAGAGGAGAGGUGCGGGCGCUUGGCCGGCGACGGGGAAUCCCAGAGAGUGCAGGGAACGAGCUCCAGGGCGAGGGUAGAGCACUCCAGACAGCAGGCCGCCCACGUCAAACCGGAGGCUGGGUGGAACAGAGGUUUGGACUCGGGCCACACCGUAAGGCGCGAACCGUACCGGACACGACAAGGCCGGAGAAACAAGACUACAGGUACGUCGGGUGCAUAAGGCAGGCUAGAAAUAGAGAGUCUAAUUGCAGAAGGUAGGAACAGGUGAGGGGAAGAGAGGAUGACGAGAUGAGAAGCAGCUGGGAAUGAAUGAGCAGGUCUAAGUGUGUGUGUGUGUGUGUGUGUGAAGAAAGAGUUGGAAAGGAGAGCAGGAUAUAAUGUUCAUGACAACUUCAGGUUUUAAUUUACUUCUUUUGUUAAUUAAUCAGCACAGUCUGCUUACUUUCUAUUGGGAUUUUUUCAUUGUUGUCAUUAACACAAACAACAAAUACAAUUAGACACUGUUUAAAAAACACAUUUACUCAAAGAACUAUUUGAACUUCUAAACUAUUUUUAAUUCAAAGGAAGAUUUCUGAUUCCAGUUCUGUCUCAACUAGUAUGAAUUCAUUACUUCACAUUUCUAUAUGGAUUUAGCUUAUUCUUUCCAUCCUGUUAAGUAAUUAUCUGCGCUAUUAGGUUUGAAUUUGUGUUUUGGAAUCUCUCAUCUAGCUCCUUUUUGUAUUAUGACUAUUAACUAAAGUGAAUUUAUUUAUGUGUUUUUAAAUACGUAAUAUUACACAUCCUGAUCUCUUCAAGUGAAUCUUUUAAGGGCGGUUAUAGCAGAGAGUUGGUGCAACGUAUACAUUGUUUGAAUGGAUAAUUGUAAUGUUGGGUCCAAUACCAAAAAGACACACACACACCAAAAAUCCACCAUUUUGUAGUGAAUCUUGGGGGGUUGAGAUGUUUUUUCAAACGGGCAUCGUGACAACAGCCUGCCACAGAGUUUGGGUCAUCAGUGUAGUCGUUAAGCAGGCCGUAAUGGGCCGUGCGAGGCUGUUCUGCUCUGGCGCCGGGCCGGCUGACCUGUGGAUCACACCAACAUUAUCGGCCGACGGAUCGCACCAUUAUGCCCUUGAUGGAGGGGAACUGUGGAUGUGUCUGGAGGAGAUCGAAAAUGCGUUCCCAGUGUGCUGCCAAUCUGCAGACACGCCACAGGCAGGUGUGGGUGUGUGGGGGGGCUCACGCGUGUACUAUGUGCAGGAGCACGCGUUCACAUGCAUUAUGUAGGAAUCGACAUUAUGGAUUUUGGGUUGUCUAUUCAUAUCCAUUAGUAGCCAUCCAGUUUAUAGCCAUUUUGGCUUUUUAAAGUUUUUUCAAUAAAUGGUUGAAUCUGGCACCAGCCGUGCAGCUUGUGCAUGUGUGGUCUUCAGUAACUCCACUUCCCUUUUUUGUAUCUCAUACAGAAGCACUAAAGGUCACAGCUGUCUGCGAUGCAGCAGAGACUAUCGAACGUGAGGGAAGAGAACCAAACAACGAUGGUGAGUGAGAAGACGACAGAAAUGCAAACUACAAACGCUAAUCACAGUAAAUGUCAACUCACUCCUGCCACUCGUUCCUUAUUUAUUUUAUUUCCUUCCACAGAUUUGUCAUUCCGGGUGACUUCCUUACAAAAUGCAAUGCUUCUGUUGUCUAGAUGACUAAUAAGGCAGUUUUAAAAUAAAAAUAGAAACUCCAAUGAUACAACAUUGUCUUGUGAAAUGAAAUAAAUAAUCAACCCUGACCUGCGGCGUUGUUGUAUUCCAGCAUUCUAUGUCUGCCAAUUAUUCAUUUACUCUAUCCACAUGAAAAGGUUUUUCAUGUUUUAGAUUAAUCAAAAUGAAUGCAGAAAACUUUCUUCAAUGAUGAUGAACCCGAAAAGUGAUAUUUUCAUAAAUAAAUUGCUUGAAAAAAACGCCUGUUACCUCCCUCGCCGUGUAUACUAAGUGCUUAGUCCCGCUGCCAGCAGUGGUCCGAAGGAGCGGAGGGGAGGCCCGCUUUGAUGGAGGUGGGAGUGGGAAAGACUUGCCCACAGCCGCUCUAUGACAACACUUGCACACGCUGUCGGCCAAACAAACUGUGCUGGGAGUCAAAUUCACUAAGCUGAGGGAUGCUGUGUGCAGAGGGGGGGCGUCUCCUUUCCAGUAUCAAAAGAUGGCUGAUUUAAUAGUUAGGUUUGUUUUUUUGCUUCUAAUUUCAACCCUCCCCUCAUGCACGCUUCAUCUUUUGCCCUCUUUGUCUCUCAUUACGCUUUCAUGGAGCACACACAAAAUGUUUUAUCCGCCAGCCAACCAAUCCCACCAGCAGGUCCGGGCACGCCACUAAUUGUGGUCGGUUGGCCAAGUCUUCAGCUUGUUGCCAACAUAAAUUACAGAGUUACAAUGCUGAAACUCUCAAAGCCACAAGAAGCACCUCCAACAAGGACCCUGGGCAUGAAAACAAGGUAAAUAGGCACACACUUUUCACAUACAAAAAGGUUUGUACAUAAAAAUAUAUAUCUUUCAAGGCAUGAGUUUAUUCCUUUUACUAAAUAUUUUUCAAAAGCCCACAAUUAGCUUCUUAAAAAUUAAAUUAGCUCAAAACUUAGCGUAACUACAACUGCAUACAUUUGUAUUAUUCAGUCACGGUGAUAGAUUGUAUGUCGGCUGUAGAGACAGUUAGAGGUCAAACAGUCUUUUUUACAACGUGCCCUUUUAAUUCUGGCCUCUACGUCCAAUCCAUCAAAUACCUCCCUGUUUUUAAACUCGAGAGAAAAAAAUAGACAGGUAGCACAGCAGUUGAGUGCGUGCACAUACCAACGCACACUGUUGCAUGCAGGUACUGUAUAUGCACGCAUUCUUACACACAGUGAUUAAUGACCAGGCCUGAGUGGGUUCAGUCCUCUACAGGCCCACUUUGAAAGGCCAAUACUGAUUUCCCCCGUGUGAAUAUAGAGUACUUGUAUGCACGUGUGCAAACUAAUUCCCCGUCGAGAGGGGAAUUGAUAAGAUGCACGUCUGUAAAACAAAACGCAUGUGUUGCACUCAAAAUGUUGCACCUUUUCUAGCGUUACAAAAGGGUUAAAGAGCUUGAACUCUAAUUAUGACAGUAUUUGACAUGCUUACUGGUUUAGUUUAGUACUAUGCUGAAUACAGUGAAACGAGGUUUGGUAGUCUGGCUUUGUAUUUUCUUUAACGCAUUUGUUAUAUAUAAAUGAAAACGAGGCUAGCUGGUUCUCCCUGCUUCUAUAAAGCCAGUUUAACUAACAAGCUGCUGGUUGUUGCUCCAUUAUAAGCAUUCCAAAUUAACAGAGACGUUAAUCCUCUGAUUAACUAAAGAUUUUUUUACUAUUUUGUGAAGUGAAUAUUCUGUUAAAUACACAGAAGAAUGUACUUGUUGAGGAAAAGAAUGCUAUUGACAUCCAUUGGGUUCCAAAUGAGCCAUGUCUUUAUCCCUAUACCUGUCACCCUUUUGAUAAUAACCACUCGUUUCAAAGGACCCUCUUGGACAAGGGAAGUCUGGCACAAAAUUAUUUGUUCUAAUGUCCUGCGUGAUAAUACGGCAGCAUCUUAGACCCUCACUCUGGAGAAAGUCUACAUGGCUCAGUCCCAAAGCACAGAAUAUGGAUCAAUGCAUCCUUUCUGCUUGAAGAAAUUGCAUUGUAGACAAGUCGAAUGCGGGAAAACGGUGUAGAAUGUGUAUCCAGAGACGUAAUACUGGCAAAUAUUAGUUACUUAUGCGCAUGGACUCAGAAAUCCAGCAGCAACAGCUUCCUAUUUCUAAAUGAUCACAACAUUCAGCAUCAUGAACUCACUACUAUUGAGGACUGUUUUCACAGCAAAAGGAAUAUGGUUUUCUUUGAUGCCUCGCUUUGACCCCCGGCGAUGAGGCUGCGCAUGAUUUGUGUACAACGUGUAGGGCCAUUGCUCAUCUACUGUAACGCAAACAUGACAAUGAAUAGCAAAAUGAAGACCACUUAUUCCCUAAGUAAAAACAGAUACAAAGAAAUCUGUGUAAAUUGGCCAAGGCAUACCAACAGUCUAUAAGCAAACCUUUGGAAAAGCUCACCAAGAAAUCCAUUAACUGAGCUAUGAUGCUUGUCAACUUGCAUUUGAUCAAUGCUUGGAUUUUGAAACUUCUUUUAAAAUGUCACAUCCACUUAAUAUCACAAUAUUCAGCAGAUAGCCCGGGCCUUGAAGGUGUUUCAUGCCUUCUAAAGUGGAGAAAAUAAAUUCUCUCUCAUGAAAACUGCGGACAAAUGUCACACGCAAUGCAAGUUCUAUAUUGAGCAUCACAGACCUUAUUUGGUUUCUAACAUAUUGCAAUGGCAUGCAUAAAUGCAGCCAAUUACGGACUUUACUUAUAAGUUUAUAUUUCAGGCGUGGAUAACAAAAACAAUCUUUUUUGUGUGUAACAUUAUACAGUAAUAUAAAGACCCUUCAAUCAUUGGCUGAAAGUGUAUGAGUUACGGUCAUUGCUACAAAAUAAACAGGAUACAGUUUAAUGAAAUAGCCCUCGUUUGCUGCUGUUAAUUUAUCCUCCUCAAAGGACAUGUAACCGGACGACCUCACACUCGGGGGCUCGCACACUUUGUCAUGUAGCACAGCUCCUCUUUGUUCAGGCGUGGACGUGACGGAGGAGGUGUUGGAAAUAUCUUGCUAUCACACAGAUGACCAUCCAACGUAUUAUUGACUAUGCUUUCUUCUGCAGAAACACAUACGAAGAACACUUCACAUAUGUGACUGCAUCUACAUAUUCAAACUUUGCUGAUGUGCACGUGUCACGUACUCAGUGUUUUGCCGUGUGCGCUCUAUCACGCCGUCGAGUGUUCAAGCCUUUGCAAACUGAGCAGCUGGUCUCCCCUGUGGGAGUCAUUAGCAGUAAAGCUCAUCCUUUUGUCACACACUCCAGUGUCUGUCCCUCACCUCGCAGCCCAACCUUGGGGCCCGUCCUGUCCCCCCCCCUGCACACCUGACGUUACUUUCCUCUUCUCUGCGACUUCAGGGCUCCUCUGGCUGGCUGCUCCCGUGGAAACGGAGCCAGAUAACUGGAAAGAACGGGAGAGGGGGUGAAUAAGCAAGAAAGGGACCGGAGCGGAUGAAAAAAGGAACACAAGCACGGGAUGUGCCGAGGGAGACAAUGAGGUCUGUCUUCUCUCCCCCAGCCUAUUAUCAGUCUCGGAGGACGCACCCACCUAUCCUUGUAAAGUCAGAGACAAAGAGAGCUCACGCUCACUUUCUCCCUCUGCGCCGGCUCUCGCGUUAUUUCUUAAAACCCCCCUCGCCUCCCGCAUCCACCCAACCGUCGGCCUUCGCUCACCGCCUCUGUUCAGUCGUGCCACAGGGAGAGUCAGUUAUGCGAGAGCCUCGUCUUCUCUCCUUAAUCUCAGCGUGGCAGAGCUGGCUUCGCUUUAGAUACACAGAGCCCCACUCACUUGCCUCAGCCCAGAAAACAACACCACUGACAUUAUGCCAACUCACGCUCCACACCGGCCCCAACAAGCCCAGGCGGAUGGAAGAGGAGAUAGGGGCCCUAGCAUGUGGCUGGAUGAGAAUGACUGCUGUUCCAAUAAUUCAAUAGAUCUUCAAUAGAGAUGCCCCCCCGCCACCCCAUGUUGUUUAUAUCAGACAGAAAAUAAAAUAAAAUUGAUCCCUAUGGUAGAAAGUUUAAGAUAAAAAUAGGCAGUUUACUUGGAAAUGCUGUUUCAUGGCCCAGAAUAGAGGGAAACAAUCUUGAUUUUCUAUGCAUGGUUCACUGUCACAUACUGUACAUAGUGUACUCACUUUAGGAUUCCCAUGAGGACUGAGGCAAUCUCUCAACAGAUCCAAAUGGUGACAGCGCAGAUUGGGAAUGAACUCCCUUUAUGGAUUUUUGCUCCAAAUAAAGUGGCUCAUUCCCCGUGAAUGGCCGUGACCCCAACACAAUUAACCUGGCAAUUUGUCACUUUCAAGGGCAUCCACUGGGAGUUUGGCGUAAUUGGCCAACUUGUCAUCAUCCUUCACUCCCUGAUCGGUAAUGGAAGAGAGGGGAGAUGAUAGACAUGAUUUAACAUAACCUAUGUGUUAUCUCUUCUCUUCUUCCCUUCUUCUUUUUCCUUCCAGCAGUCCCUCAUCAUUCUACAGAAUUAUUCUUCUUUCUUAGCAAUCAUUGAUACGCAGAUAAUUAAGGAGUCUCAAGGCCCCGCAGUCACAGCUGUUAUUUAAGAAUCACUAUUAUGUCCUCUUUUACAGCCUGUUAAUCACUACUGCUACAACUGCAUGUGGAAGCAGGGGCGAGUGCCCUCCCAACUAGAUGAAUGAAAAUAGGAUUGAUUUCCUAUGGAGACACAUGGCCAGGCCCGAUACACCAGCACACAGGGUAGAUCAGGUGUUAAUGAAUAUCAAUGAUGAUCUAAUGAAGGAGCGGAAUAAAAGAGGGGAACAAAGGAGAGUUAAGGCUCGACUGUGAAGAAGGAUGUGUUUUAAAAAGUUACUUGAGGAGUUUAAAUACCGCGGAAUGUUUGAGAAAAUUACGGUCGAUGCAUUAGAAAACAUGCAAUUUUCUCAAGUAGUCUUUUUCGACCUUUACUCGAAGACACUUUUACUUCAUCACAGCCAUUGUCCCUCUGCGGUGGAGCGAUUAUCAGGGCAACAGGGUGAAGCCUGUCGUCUCAACACACAUCUUGUCAUUGCAGACUGUCCUUCCCUUGCUCGGCAACAAUUGUUAAUUCUCUCCUACUUUACAGCAUCAAUCUCCUGCCUCCCCGCCCAUACAUCCAGCUCUUUGUGGAGCUGUUAAGCGGCUCCGCUACUGGACUUUUUGCCCUCUUGUUUCCAGCUCGGCAUUGAUUCAGAAUUUCCCAUGAGCUGCUUCAGGGUAUAAAAAAAGAAAUGAAGCGAUGGUGAAGUAGUUGGAAGAACUUAAAUGAACAAAACUUGUGUUAUGUACAGCCUUUUACAUCUAUUUUCAUCCACACACAGUUCUUCUGGUGGUUUUGCAAUGCAUGUCUUUGAUGUGGUUACAAAACAGAGAUACUUGAAAACUGAAAAUGAAAUCUUAACACUACCAAAUCCACACUAGAACAGUUUUCAUACAAAACGACUAAGGUGCUGAUUUAAUACCUGAUCUGAUCUUAUCUAAUACCUGAUACAAAAUUUAAAACGACCGUUGUCAUGUUGGGUUUAUUUUUUUCCGAGCAUGUUGAAUUAAUUUUCUUUUUCCAAUAAAGUUUAAUGUGUUCAAGGUAAAAAGAAAAAACACUGCACACAUAUAAGUCUAAUCUUUUUAAAUAGCUUCAAAGGUAUGAAUGUGCGUGGCCUUAAUAUUUACCCUUGACUUUUUCCAUGAAACGUGGUUGAACGCUUGGAAUAAAUGCUGCUUUCAAGGUAGUAAAUGGACCUUCAAGCUCAAAUUUCUAUCCAUGUUGUAUUUGUUUUAUACCAAUAACAACACCUUGCUCACACACCCCCUAUGAUCCCAAUCUUAGUUUAGUGUGUAGAAUACCUCCUAUAUUUAAUAGUUUAAUAUUAGUACUGGGAGAUAGUUCAAGGUCAUCACCAGAGUCAUCGGACUACAUCCCCUGAAAAUCAAGAAUACUUGAACCAAAUUUCACAGGAAUCCAUCACUUUUAAGUCUGUACCAAGGUGGACGAUUGACACAUCGAACAACAUUGCGUUAACUACUGCAACCUACUUUAACUGUUGGAUUAUUGGACGACAACCCACACAUAAAAGACGACGGUGAGCUGCCUACCAAAGUGUUGGAAAAUGUUUAGCCUUGAAACUCUAAAAUGUUUCCAUGAUACCAAUCUGACAAAAUGGCAUCGGUUCAAAGGUUGACAUCAAGUGACAUCUGACGUAAUCAAGACGCACACGUCUGCUGCUGAAAGAAGGUUAUUGGUUGCUUUGUGGAGGGCAGCCUGGGCUGUAAGUGCUCUAACACCAGAUUAAAAUUACUCAAAGAUAUUACUUUGACUUAUAACAGUAAAUGUAAUUAGGUUGAUACAGCUUUUAAAAUCUUGGGUAAAAAAAAAUAAAAUUUUGAGAUCAGCCCAGACUCUGCGAGACACACGGGGUCAGGCCUCGUCACGCCGAUUAAGGGAUGGGGUUAACAAGUGAAUCUGUUAUUCUGGAAAGCUCCACGGGAUUGUUGGUUCGCAGAGAUGAGAGUUGAGAAAAAUAAGCUGCUCUUGCAUGCUUACAAGCCGCUUUCUGAUGUAUCAGCCUUAAAUCCUUCAUUGUACUGCAGGACAUUUAUCUCAUUUAUGGAGAGAUUUUCUGCACUUUAUCUUCGCAGCCUGAAUGUUAUCGUUCACCCGUGACAGGGUAAUUUCCUGUUUACUGUGUUAUAAAAGGGCAGUAAGAACCAGAACAUAUAAAGAGUAUAAUGUAUUUGAGAACCUAACAGUUUGUACUCCGUGUAAGUUUGAAGCCUCAUUUCUCAUUAAAGCAGAAACACUUUGGCUUUGAGAACUUAACCCGUGAGCUCAAGCUCAGCAAACUACAGGCGACGGUUGAGUCUGUCCUAAGAUCUCUCUUUUGCAAAGAUUCAAACCAUUCAUCCAUCUGUCGGUCUUUCCGACACAUUUCCCCCUUUACUCCUGCAAAAACUGUUUGUGAAAAAUGAAAUAAAUAAAAAAUACCCAGCUGGAUUUGACUCAUCCCAAAGCUCUGCAGCUGAGGGAGUCGAUACGUUCAUUUCUCGGCUCUUAGCACGCCCAGACACCCCCCCGACACCCACUCCCCCCCACCUCCCCUGCCCCGUGCACAAGCCUGCAUUAUCAUAAGCCAAAGCAUCCGAGGUGUGCAACGUAAGCCUCUGCAGUGCACCUCAUGUUUCAUAAAGAGAUAAGAGCCCCUAAAAAUAUCCAUGGCGUGUGGAGCGAUAGCCCAGCAUUAGAAGAGCGACCCUCUACGGCCAACCAGCCAAGCGCCAUCUCCUUUAAUUCCAAACACAAACAUUAAAAUGUAUGAUCCCAUAGACCCAGCCCUCUUUAUUUAGACAACUGAUUAAAAUGUUAUUGCAUUAAUUGAUUUUAAUUUACUUGGUAAACCCGGAAUAGAAGCGAAAAAUGAUAUGAUUAAAUUAAAAGUCACCCUUACAAUUUAGGUUUCAGUGACACACAGAACAUGUGCGUAAAACAUCCAAAGUGAACAAUGUGGAUUCAUUAGUGCAUCUUUCUGAAGACAUCUAUACAUUUAGGUGAUUCAGACUCAGCACAGGUCUCCUGUGUAAAUCUGCAAAUAGAAAUGAAGCGUAAGUUCCGUAUUUCCUUCUUUUCUCCUCCAGAUGUUAUCUCAUCAAUAGAUUGAUCCCUGACUAUGUGAAACUCACCAUCAACUCAUUGCGAUUAGCGAGCUCCAAAGUAAAACAUAAAUAAUCUCUCAUACAGCCGUUACGUCGCCCAUACCUCUGUGUAGAAUCCGAACUUAAAGCAAAAGGAACGCAUUUCAGAUCUAAAUAAAUAUGUAUCCUUCAAAGAGAAGUCUGUUCCCCACUUUACGCACAAGUCUGGGGGGGCGUAAAGCCUAAUAGACUUCCAAACUGGGGUGGCAUAACUCUUGGGGUAGCUUUUGUUCUCAGAUAACUUCAAGUUACAUGUCCUGAAUGAAGCUGGUUAUAGAGAAACUGUGAGUGAAAGGGAGGCAGAUUGAGUGAUUGUUUGUCUCCCCGCCAUCUGUUUCCCUCCAAACUAGUCCGUGCUCGUUCUGUUCUCCACACAAAACAAAAUGUCUUACAUGCUCACACAGUGUGAUGAAUAGGGAGAGAGGAUGACAGAGGCGGAUAGAGUGGAGACAAGCUAACCCUGCUGUACUUUUUGGGAAUGCCUGGAGAGCUUCAAAUCGAGAAUCAUUUAUAUAAAUCAGGUAACUAAAGAGACUUUCCUGCAAGUUGUUUUGCCGAACUCCCCGCAUCCUUAUUAGCCCUCACGGAAGCAAAUUCAACCCUACAUGAAGAACUCAUCAGAGUCGCUUGCCCCUCCGAACUAUCUGCAGAAAUUAUUUAUUCAGUCCUAAACAAAUACUUCUGAAAAAUUCAAUAUAAAGUUUCUUCCUCUCUGCAAAAAAGGUUGUUCUAAUCUCUCGCUUGCAUGAUGUCGUACACUGGUAUGGCUAAAAUAUUGAAUUGAAAUUAUUAUGUUUUCUGAUAACUUUUAACGUUUUCCAUUCAUUGUUAAAAGUUCCCGUCCUUUUCUGCUUCGUAACUCUCCAUCCCUCCAACGUCUUCUUACAGUUUUUUCACCACGCAAUUUAAUUUACUUUCUUUUGUCUACUUCAGCUCAUCCUUGAACCAUUUUAUUUUUGACUUCAUCUCCUUUAACUCUGUCUUACAAAUCUUGUUAAUUUUCUUCUCGCACCUACUUUUCUUCACCAUUUGAGUUUAUAUCAAGCCAAAGUAGUUGCCGUGUCUUUGCUUGCCCUUCUCUUUUGAUGGCAUAUGGAUAGAAUAUAUUUAACAAUCACUCAGACCGCCCCACUAGUCCAGCAUUUCAUCUCUUAGUGGGAAUAAAUGCUAGACAUUCCCACAUUAUUUUUUAAUUUAUCAAACCUUUAUCUUUUGGGAUAAAAAAAGUUAUAUUAAUACAUUUUUUGGCAAAUUCCUGUUUGUUUGCAUUAGGCUAAACAAUUGAUGCAGUACAAUAAAGUGUGCAGGUGAAGGAGCCCAGCCAAGGAAUGAUUACAUUAAUACAUUGCCCUACUCAUGAGGUCUGAAGUGAAAAAGAACAAGAGAGAGACUGUGUUUCUAUUGGUGGAGGUGGAAAGUUAUAUAGUGAAUACAUAUGAUGAACUAUAUCCACCAAAGAUUCACGAAUGCUUUUUUUUAGAUAAAAAAACAAUUUCCGAUACAAUAAAUAGAGAGAGAUAAGAAACUCCUGAUUUAUAAGAACAUUUCUGACAGCCCUGUCCUCUUUGAAGAUAUUGGCUGCUAGAGGGAAUUGUGAUCACCUGCAGAAAAGCACCAACUUACUAAUAUGAAUAUGAAGUUCCAUCAAGGAAAGAGGUUGGGUUUUCUGGCCAUCUCUUUUCCCCAUGCCUUGUUGUGUAAUUUGUCUCAUAUCUACAUGGUUUUGGAACAGUCAUUAGAGGGUAAAUCCCCUCGGCCCAACUUGCCACAGAAAAGCGCUAGCAUUCAGGGCGUGAUAAAUGGACACUCAAGACUUGUUAUUAUGAUGAAUGGGAAUUUCACACUAGUAACAGCCAAAACAAAAACCUCAAUAGAAAUUCCUCCCAAAAGUGCGGCCAAUGGUAUAUAUCGGAAACGGAUGCCUAUAGGAUCACCUGAUUGGCUUUUAUCGGAUUGUUGGACUUGCUUGAGGUUCGUGAACGUAUCCAUUUCCAAAAAAAGUCUGAAAAUGGAGUCCAAUACCAAAACAAAUCGGCCGUUACUAUGGUGAUUAGUGAGGAACCCAUGGUUGUUUCAGUACAGGUUGCUGGUCAUUGUGCUGUGGACAUGGAUGCCCCCGAGACAAUACAUUACAGUAACCAUAUUAUCAUUAGGGAAGUACAUGAAGGGAGACAGAGGGGGAGAGAGGUAGCGCUACAUUGUGUCUCUGAUAAAUGGGUUAUAUCAAAGAGCAGAGAGAAAGAGAGCGAGGGUGUGAUCCAAAUGGAGAGAUGCAGAGGCGAGGGAGGUACAGCAUAGGGCAAUUUAAUCCCAACCAUCUCGGCUGGAUAAUAAGAGGGGAGCGAGGGAAUAUAAAUAGUGAGUGAGAGACUAAUGGAACUCAUUUUAGGAGAGUAUUUAACCUAUUUUAGAGAGAAUCCAGGGUAAUCAAUUCAAUGUGCUUUUAGCCAAGGCCCCAGCUUUAAUUACUCUCCCAGUAUGAUUAUUCUCUGACACGCUACCUCCGUCCUAGAAAUAGAUAUUAGGUAUAAUACAAUGGUGGCUUAAAUGGGUCGCAAAUAUUCGAAAGAUCCAGGAACAUAGGCAAUGGUUGCAACACAACUUGUAUUAAAUGGGGAUUUCAUGGAAGACAUGCAAGGGUGAUUUAAUGUAUUUGACAAGUAUUGGAUUGUAAUCAACUAUAUUUUCCAACUAAGAUAUGCAUGUUAGCCUGCAACUCUCAUUUCAGGAAGCAAAUCUGAGUAUAAGCCCAUGUACCAAAUAUAACAAAAAACAGUUAACUAAAUCUAAUAAUUACUCAGUUAAAUGCAGUAGCUUUUGAAUUACUCCUUAAUCGCUCAUGAUACAAUGGAUUGACAACCGUCAUGACUUAUUUCACAUUAUUGUAUUCAGUGGCAGGCCAGACAUAACAGCUGGCCUGUUGGUGCUCUCCUUUCAGACAGUGUCAGCAGCCAGUUCAAACCUUGGCCUACAGUUGCUCAGUCAAUAUGUCCUUAUAGUCCCAGGGACACUAAAAAGGUCUGCUAGUGGUGUUGUUGGUGUGACAGUCAACUCCAAUCCACUCCUCGAAAUAUCUCCCACAAGGCGAAAGGGGAUCUAAUGUCUAGAGGGCCUCGGGAAAAUAUGCAUUUCGCCCUCACAUAUAGUCACAGUGGGACUGUGUGUUACUGUAUACUCGCAAGAUAUUUGCUUAGUUAGCUACGCAGACGCUAACACAAACAUGGCAACGACAAAUCUUUGGAAAAACAUUGUGUCCUGGUCUCCAAUUUGACGAAUGCAAAGAGAAAUCAGAACAGGAGCUUUGACUUUUGAGCUGUAAAGCUCUCUGUUAUCUGUCACGAAGCACAGAAGUUUCGCCGUGAGCCCAAUUUUCCUGCUUUUUACAUCUUUCCUGCAUACCCAAAAGAGAUAAUGUCUCUUUUAUGUCACAGAGAACAGGAAUCGCGUUGAACGUCCACACAAACAGACACAAUGUCACUGCCAUUCAGUGGAAGAAGAGCAGCUCCAAGGCACUCAAGUAUCUUCUCGAGUGCCAAUUAGAAAAAAAAGAAUCAAGUGAAGUCAAUUUUAAUGUAUCCUUGUGGACAUUCACAUGGUAAUUUAGAUGCGUUCCUUUCAAACCGCUCCAAAAGCGGUUAUUAAUACCAAUAGCAUACACACUUCACAUCAGCAGUGACUGAUGCUCCGUAAGUGUUCACGUUUACUGUUACUUCUUAAAAUUCACAACACUAUUUAUUCCAUAGUCGUAUGUAUUAACGGCUAACAAGAAAGCCAAUACAAGCAAGCAGCUUAGACAAUGUGCUUUACAAAUCAGGUGUGACUAAUGUCAUCAACUGUGGCUCUGUUCUAUUAAAAUCUCCAUGUGAGCCACGGCAAUGUGAGUGAGCCAGCAUGCACGAUACCAGGACUGAAACUGAAACAGCUAAAUGGACUGAAUGAAUUAAUCAAUUGAAUGUAUUAAUUCCGCCUCUCACUGUUUUGGUCAGACAGUCACAUAUCAAAAAGUCUCCCAUUAAGAGGCCUUUCUAGCGAAGGAGACGUUUUGAAUAUGCGCUCCUUUGCUCAUGCUUUUAAGAUUUCCCAGAAGAAAUCUGAACAUUGGAUGAGUCCACGUUUGAAUGAGGUUUAUUAAGGAAUCUGGGGAAUAUCUCUCUAUUAUUACAAUGAACAAAAAUACUCUUUUAGGAAUGAAAGGUUCAACAAAUCAAUGAAUGACAUAUGAACAAUUCCUUGUUGAAUCCCCCAAAAGUCACAAAAAAGAUAAAAUUGGUAAAAUAAUAACUAACACUUUGAGUUACACACCGAACAGUUACUGUAACUGUAACACUUGUUGGGUUUGUUUUAUUUUGUCUCCUCUCGUUUCAGGUCACUCACCCUUCCUCAUGUGUCACCAGUCUGAUUGUCUUCCCUGAUUCCCGAUUGUGUCCACCUGUUCCCCAUUGCCCUCCAUGUGAACUAAUAGUCGGCGUCUCCCUUUGUCCUGUGCCAGUGUGUUCGUUUCCGUCCUUGUGUUUAUGCGUCUGCUCUAGCCUCGCCAUAGUUUUUCACUGCUCCGUUGUUUUUCCUCCAAUAGAGUGAUUUUGAUUUUGUGACGUUUUGUAUCAUAUAUUUAGUUUAAUGGUUAAUGAUUUUGUAGUCCUUUAUUUCCCCCGUAAGGAGUCCAUUUUGUUUUGAUAAUCUUUCAUAGUGCCUCCAGUUUUAAGGAAUGUUUUUUGUGAUGUGAUGUUGUGAUGUUGCCUCCAUCGAAAGAGUGCUUACCCAGUAUUUUGAUAAAGUUAUAGGCCUUUUUGUUUUCCUCCUAGAGUGGAGCGACUUUUUGUUGAUUGAAGUUUUAUAGCCACACGUCUUUUUUUGUGGCAGAAGUGUGAUCUAGGUAAUUUUUAUAGCUCAUAUUUCUUUGCUCUGCCUUGGAGAGGUCCAGUCUUACCAAUAAAGACUACAAAUCUCAUAAAACCCUGCAUCUGUGUCCAGUGUUCUGCCGGGUCCUGACAGUAACAAUGUUUGUAUAACUGAAAAGCAUUAAAUGAACCCAUUGUAAUAUGUUAUAGGUAAAUACACUAUGCUGGGUAAAAGCAAGUGUGAAAGCAUUGUUUUAGACUUAGACAAAGUGAUUAUAUAUGAUUCCAUCUACAGUGGGACAAUGAGCCAAAGGACUCUCCAUGGUUCCACUGAGCCCUUUUACUUUGACCGGUGUUGCAUGUCCCCAUUUUUUUAACAUCUUAUUUUUUUCUAACUUUCAAUCUCUCCAACUAUGGGUCGACUGACUUCUCACUAACACUCCUCAUGAGACUGAUUCAAAAGAACAACCAUAUAGCUGCAGACUCACUCGUCCCACCGAAUGAGCACUCUGUGACUCAGAGACGUCCCGACAGAUGGAUUACAUCCCUUUUUGUCCGGGCUUUCGCUGCCGGGCUGUGGGGUACGGGCACUUGAUAAAAUCAUGUCAAAACAGUCGAAUCAGUUCCUGAACUGAAAAGCCCACUCUGGGGGAGGGACCAAGAUCACGUCAGCUCCAGCACCGUCUGAUGCAUUGUAAAUGAUCCCUGAAGGUGUUGGCGGGAGAUGAACCACAGCGAUGGAAAGUAUAAUGCUGGAGCCGUAGAUAAACAUGCUGACUAACUGUUCUCUGGCGACCCUGCAUCCUGUUUCAGUGUAUUUGUUGGGUGUGAGGGGAGGGGGGGGGUGAUAAAGAAAAGUGGGCGCUUCUAUAGACGCCGAGCAGCUUAAGUUUAAUUGCUUGUGGUGGCAGUCAAAGUCAAUACGCUGGUCAAUGGCCCGUGCAUCCCGCAGGUUCAUUUCCCCCUAAUUACUCUACAUGCACCCAGCCAAUGCAUAAGUCUGUCAUCAUUAAAAUAAUAAGAGCGGGUAUGGGUGACGAGGAGAGCAGUAAGUAUGGAGGGACAAAUGCAAAAUAAGUUAAUGAAUCAAUAGCGCCGCAAAGAGAAGGAGAAGGCACAGAAUGAAGUGUUAUACACAUAUAAACACAUCCAAAUCUUCAAAUACAUGCGCACACACAAUCACAUUUAUGUUGAGAAAACUUUUAAAGGGAGCUUUUGAAAUGUAAAAAAUAUGAUAAAGGGAGAAAACACAAUGUCACCUGUUAGUGGCUGUAAUUUAAACGAAAUAUGCAUAUAAAUAAUUGUGUUGACUUGAACUUUUAGUUGACAUUGUGGUCACGAGGAACACUGCAGCAUCAACAACCAUCCACCAAACGCAUUUUAAUUCCACUACAAAAUUUGCUUCAGUGAUCGUGAUCAAAUCUAAUAAGAUCUGUCUUUUCCACUCAGCCCACCCAAUUCAAUUCCUAUUUUCAAUAAAUAAAACAACAAAAUGAAAUAAGCAUUAGCAAAGCAGCGGCUCAGCUCAUUGCCGUUUCCCCGGAUCUGCUGGAUUGCUGCGUAAUGGGGAAUAGAUAUCGGAUCAGCACAUCUGCGUGCAUUAGGUGGCGUGCAUCCUCCAUGGCGUAGCCGUGUCUUCUACAGUUGCAGAGUGUAAUCCUCGGCCUUCACCAGCUGCCCGCAGGUCUUUCGGAAACGUCUCACUUGGAUGACAAACAGGUGGACACGGUUUGAUUAGCUUGUUAAAACACACCUGCUACUGAAGGGCAAUGCAAUCCAUCCACACACACACACACGCACAUACACACACCAACCAACCUAAACUCACACAAACACACACCACUUUGCUUUGGAUAAAAGCGUCAGCUAAAUGACCUGUAAUGUAAUGUAGUGCAAAAACUAACUGAGGCCUGUGAAACACAGAUAAUUAUUGUAGGGAUCAUUAUUAGCUGCUUUAAAGGAAAAAUGCCAACCUAAAUGCCCAUGAUUAAGAAUUAUACAAUGAAAUAGAGAGUAAACUGUGUACCAUUCUUUCAAUACUGUAUAUGUUGGUUCUCACUUCAUGUUCGUUAUACGAGCUGCUCAUGAGUUUGUUUUUAGUUCAGUUGUAAUAUUUCUGCAGUUAUAAGAUCAAUAUGAGUUUAAGACAUCAUUUCCGUUAAUGGCAAUAUAAUAAACAUGAUAUUUAACAUUAGAAAGGAAAUGCUACUUGAUCAAUGUUGUAGGAUCAAACAUUUUGUCAGACGUCUGGUUUACUGUACAUGUUUAACACUGUUGUUGUCAGGUGUCCCCUACAUAAUGACAUGAUAUCAGGCCUUAGGUUUUUAUCUUGUUCUUUAUUCUACUUCAAAGGAACCACAGAGGAGAUGAUGUUCUAAACCAGAGGUGCCCGAUAGCUGGAUCGCGUCGGGGAUGACCGAAAGUAAUGCUAAUGCUAACUAGCAAUCCUUGCUUAAUAACGGACGCAUUUCAUUUCAUUCCAAAGCAACCCAGGCUGACGGUAGCUUAAGGUGAAGGUAAUGACCAAGAAUGUGCAGGAUGCUUGUGACGGUUUCCUCCUUCUGACAGAUGAGAGGCGCGUUGUUUUCUUCUCAUCGACACGUUUUGCGCUUACGGCAGCGCUGUUGCGCGGUCACCGCUACUACUUCGCCAUUACUUGGUUAAUUGAAAAGGAUGUGAAUUUAGGAAAAAUACAAACUUUUUUCAUCGAAUGGCAAAUGGUUUGUAAUCUGAACUCCAGACACCAAUCACUAUAAUAAUAGUAUUACAAUACCUUAAUUAAACGAAUAGAUGGUCUAAUGAUUUGGCAAGUAUCUCACAGUUUAAUGGUGUACGGUGAUGGUCCCACCGGCUGCAUUUGAAAGGCACCAGAGACAUUCUCUGCAAAAGCGCUUUAUGGUAUGCCAGCAGGGUAACAGCUCUUUGAAAGCCCAUUGACUCAUUGUUACAUUUAAACCUUCUCAAACAUGACACGUUUUAUUCCUGUGUCGGCCUUUACUUCAGUGACCGGCGUGUGAAUGCCUCUGUAUGUGUGUAUGGGGCCUGCAACGCUUAUACAGUAUUGCAGAGUGAUUCCCCACCAUUACCAAUGGGACAAGGGCAAUUGAACCCUGGCACUUCAUGUUUUAAAUGCUCCUUUAUGCAUCAAAUGUACCUUUGGAAGAUAAUAACACGGCAUAAUAGAUUUUUAUGAAAAUGCAUUACAUGGGAGAGAAGGUAGUGCAUGUGAAUGCUGUUCCCUUCCCCUAGUCUCACCCUUCAACAAAUCCCUUUCCAGUAGCUACGCUUUGGGUCCAUAAAACUUCUGCUUAUGAAUAUUUAAUGUAUAACUCAUGUAAUGCAAAUUUAACUUUGUUUUAUUUUCCCUCUGCCCAGUCCAUUAUUUUGCCCAGCGCUGCGACAGAUCUCGCCGAGAGCUGAGGCGCACUGUUGAGCGUCCAGAGGCUUUGCACACCGCAGAGACAUGACCAAGGGUUCAAAUACACAAGGUUAAAGAUAUAGAUGACAAGCACGGUUUAGUGUUCUAGAAUUGAUUGGAUAUUAAUGCAGGCCGCAUGUUUUUAUAUAUCAUGUAGGAGGAGGCAUUCACAUCAAAGGAUAAAAAUCAUUUACGGCUGUUUCGGCCAGUGAAGGGUUGCAUGGUGACUACUACAACACCUUUUCUCUUACAGUACACAACAAAAUACUCCUUCAUACAAUAAUUUCCAGUAAGUUGAAUUAGACAUGGAAAUUAAGCUACAUACAUACUUUGUUCCCAUCACAUCUCAUCACAUUACUGGAUAAACAAGUAUUCAUAGAGAUGUGUAUUGCUCAUUGAAGUCCCCACCUAGAUGAUAUUCAUUUAUUUUAUUAAAUAAACAUUUCAUUAGAUCACGCUUUAAUCCUUCAACUGAGGAAUACAUUUGCCAAAUUCCCUUUGUAAGUAUAGUCUACUAAGAAAAAACACUUCAUUAUUUCUUGUAUAUUCCGUGUGGAUUUUAUCUGUGGUUAACCAAGUGUUUAUUAAAGGAAACCAUUUUUUUGUAGUGACUAAACAGCCAUUAGUUCUUAUCUUCUAGUCUGGUUUCCCGUUUUAUUAUCUCCAUUGCAGAAUUUGUGAGCUGCGGGUAGGUGAAUGCAAAACACAGAGGACACUCAUUUAUGGUCCUACACGGUGGGAUAUGAAACAGCAGAUGGGCAAAAUGGCCGACCCAGAUCUGUCGGGGUCUCCAACCCACGCUACCUCUACCUCUGUGCCAGCGUUGGCCAGGCUGAUAGUGCCAAAGAGCUUGGCCUGCUCAUCCCUGUGAGGGUUGUCUCUGUGCCGGGUGGAAAGAGCUUGGCACACUAAUCAGUGGAGAAAUGGUAGCAAAGGCCAGCAGCAGUGGUUAGUACUCUGAAGCAAGUUAGUGCCGUAUCAAACCUGAGAAAAAACACUAAUUUGGUACAGUAGUGGUAGUUUUAUCUAAAUGCUUAUGUGAACAUACCAACAUGUUGAACUAUUUUUCUAAACUCCAGCAUGGGGAUUCCACUGGUUGCAACAACGAAGAAAAAGAAGUUGUAUAGACAUCAAUGAGGAAAUGACCCUACUUCUCACACAUCAAUACACAUUGUAAACAUAACAUGAGUCUCUAGUUUCUCAUUGCAACUCUUCUUCAAUGCAGCACGAUGUUCAUUUAAUCAAUGCAAAAAAGACAAGGGGGUGUGCUUCAGGAGUGGGUACCUCGUGAUUCUCUGGGAAUUGUCUGUGAUUUUGACUUUUUGAGAAUUUGGCUGCACUUAACUCCGACCCCCUGUGUCACUUCUAAAACCCAAGAUGGAUAAAUCAACGUUUCACAGUGACUACAUCCACUGCACUCUAGUGCAUUUGCUGGACGAUGUCACCCAGCUUUCUCUCUCUCUUACGCUUUCUUAUUUAGCAAUCAUCAUUUACUGACCCGGCAGGACUUCUGUAAGUCAUUACCCGAAUAUUAGUAUGCAUGUUUCUGCACCCCCCAUUUCCUGCCCGCUACUCUCACCGGGGAGCAAAUCCGUAGGUCACCUUGUCUGCUUAUGGUUAUAUCCGCAAGGAUGUGUGUGUACAGUAUGCGCAGUAGUUGAGUGUAAGUGUGUGUGGGAGGGUUGACAAGGUUGUGAGAGGCUUGAUUUGAAUUGGUCCUAUUUCUGAAAUUGGAUCAAUGCUAGUUAGCCAUUCACAUCACAGCUCUUUGCAGAGCUGCAAUGAAUGACAUUUGAAAAUCCUGUUGCAAAGUCAUAUUGUUUCUUGGCUGUCAUAAUAAUGAGCAUGUUUGGUAGUUUUUACAGGUCUGUUUUCAUUUUGUCAGAGAUGCAGCAACACUCUUCUUGUUCCCUUCAGCCGCCCUGAACGUUGACUUUAAUGAAAGAAGAAAAAAAAGAUAUAAAAAACAUUUGUGCUCCAUUCCAAUUAUUUUUAAAGCGAGUACAAAAAAGAUGAAUGCUAUUUGAAGUAUUUGAAGUCUUUAGUGUAAUGAUUUAAUUAUUUAUGAGUGCCCGGGCAUAACUUAGAAUGGGAAAAGCUUUCAAGAUAUUAUUGAAAUGAAAUGCAAAUGGUUUUCCCUCUCGGUGCAUGCAACGGCAGAAAAAUAGGUUUCAGUCAGCUUUUUUUUUUUUGUCUCUAUGAUGGGAAGAGAAUCUUCAGGUUUCUGCAGUUCCUCAAUUGUCCAAUAUAUUGUCUCUUCAAUUUCUUUCGCCACCAUCCACAAGCCUGUCAGCUCUUUUGUUCUGCAAUUUUGCUCACCCCCUACUGCUGUGAGGAUGUCUGUCGAUCCUACAUACUGUGUAUACAUAUUCAAGAUUUAACAAAUACCAGACAAAUACAACAAACGGAACGGGUCGGACAGACCCGAACCUCAGCAAAGUGUCACCGCCUGAGAGAUUACAAACAUUUCAAUUGAAAGAGAAGGAGCGACUCCAUUACGUCCUCUUGAUUUCCCGUCGUCUCCAGCAGAGCCUCAUGACAUCGACAGACGAGCUGUUCUCAUGCAUUUCUUUGUUAUCGUUCCUUUUUUCUCGGCGCUGCCAGGGCCUUUUAUUGCAGACGUGAUUGUUAACUUGCCAGUCAGCCCGGACUCUGAUGAUUCCUGGUUUUUCUGCCUGCUUGCGAUCGAACGGGAGGUAAAAUCCUCAGUGUGUUUUCGCUCGAUGGCGUGGAAUUCCGACAGGGACGUGCAUUGCACUGUUUCUGCAGGGCAGAACUGUGGCCUUGUUACUCUCCAUAGCACCCCUUCGUCAGCCUUAACACAGUGUUUGCUUUCAUACAUUAUAUCUCUGAUCCCCCGCAAAGUGACAGCAUGAGUUAAUCAACAAUAUGCAUUGGUUGCCCCCAACAACACAGUAAGUCAACCUCAGCCUUCAAAUCCAUCCAUGAGACGGGUUGGUGAUGGAGUGACGGGGAAGUGAUGAGUGAUAUGUGGAGGUCAUGCACAUUAUGCACAUUACAUUUGACAAAGUGGAGUUUCAACAUUGUCUCCUCCUUGUUUUUGACUAGGAUCCAUUCUCUCGUACACACCUGCAUUUAAUCUAAAAGGCAACAGCCCAGAGUGCUGAAAAGUCAUCUUCAUGCAGCUUAUAGACACAGCAUUACGGCAAUUUGCAAAUCUUUUAUUUAACAGUUUGAAAACUAAAACUAACUAUUAAAUCAAAUUACAAAAGCCUUUGGAGUCAUGGUGGAAGUGCAGAAUAUUAUGCAGAACAGCAUGCUUUAUUGUUUGUGUUUUCAAACAGAACGGCUUGAGUUUGUUUCAAUGUUAUUAUACAGUUUAUGUUUUUAAUAAAUACUUCCAUUAGUAUCAGCUAAAAACUAUUCCAAACUGCUCUUUCACUCGACAUUGUUUAUCUGUAAAAUAUGGAUGUCCUUCUCUUUUUGGGUACAUCCUGAAUAAAAUUGCCUUCAAAAGGUCCUUGAUGGACAGCAUGAAGACAUUUUUAACUCCACAGAGACGUUGAUAUGUUUAAAAUAAAACGUAAGUAAGAUCUUCACAAACUUAUCACUGUGUCAACUCUUAGGCUUCAUUAUGUUUCUCACUGGACUGCGUCAGCAUCCAAGACAAAUUAGACACAGGAAUCUACUAGGAGCACUUGAUUAUAAGGAGGAGGGAAAGGUCAGGUCAUUCAUCACCCACCACACCUGGUCAUUAGAGCAACACCAAUGGAAACUGUGACAAAUGAACCCUUCUCACAUUAAUGGACUUGGCAUUCUGGUAUUGUGAACGCACACUGCAGUGCGACUCGACAACAAGCUUCAUUCAUUCUGGAACACUCGUGACUUCUUCCGCCAAGACCAAUUGCAAUUAACAAGCACCUACUUAGAAAAGGGGAUAUGUAAUAGAUGGUGACGUGGGAGGAAAUGGAUGAAUGGAAGAACGAGCGUCGUAUUGCUAUGCAACAAUUUGAAAGAGACUUUGUGGGAGGAGGGAAUGGGCAGAAUUCGUACUCUGUUACACGUACCUCUGUGCUCUCAUCCGCUGUGGUUAUGGUUUUUUUUUUAUACUCUAUUGCAUGCGUGUUGUGUGUACUUUUUGAUUUGUCCCGCUUUUUUUAUUACAGAAUCGCGGGUCCUAUUUCCCAGAGAUGUGUUCUGAAAUUAACUGUAAUUUUGACAACAAAUCAAGCUUUUCAAACAGCAGGAAGUGUGAACAAUAGAUGGAGCAAAGCGGUCCCCCCCUGGGGAACCUUGCACUUUCCUGAACUCUCCCACUGUGUUUUCUCGUUGACGGCGCUCUUUGCUCUCCGGCUGAGCCACAAACGCGAGAGCGAGCCCCCAGUGGCAGUAAUUACUGCACCACUCAAGUGACGUGACAAAUGAACAAAUGUCACAAUACCACGGCUUGCUCGCUCCUUCUUUGCUCCAGCAGUCUUGCAUACACACCCAUUAGCUCCCUGAAGUCCUCUGUCUUGCUCCCCCCCCCACACACACACACACACGCACACAAAUAAUGAAAGUUUUACUGCAGGAAGGCGAUUGAACAGCGCAGGGGGAAGGCCGUGACAGGUGUACACACCCCUUUUGUGGGAUAGAGAGAAAGGAAGUGGAGGAUGGGAGACUGUUGGAUAGCCUGUCAGGGAGCGGGCUGCCAUGUCCGUAGCAGCGGGGUCCUAUGCCGAACGCUAAUCACAUUGAUAAAUGGUGUUGGCCGCGCGUCCCGCUACCAGCGAUGUAAGGCCUCGCCGACCCUAACUAUCACGGUACACGAAGGACAAAGCACACGGGGUGCAGAGAAAUACCGGGGGAGGAAGGAAGAAGAUCUGCCUCGGAGAAAAUAAAAGAAAGAUUCGAUGCUUUUUGACACCACCGGUCUGCAUUAUCACCAUUUCAUGGCACCCACAAAGUGAAUUGAAUUUGCACCUCCACUCUGCACUGAAUCCUCUUUACUGCUGGCAGGGCCCCUUUCAUUAUAGGCUUUUCCUUAGCAGAACAUAUGCCUCAUUGAAACAGACGCACACACACACACAGAGGAUGGAUCACAUUUGCACAGCUUCAUUUCCACUGUGGCUAACACUGUCAAAUGCAACAUAAUGCAUGUUUAGCAGUUGUGUGUGUGUGUGUGUGUUCUAGAAACAUGUGGAGGGUUAAGAAUGGGGAGUGGGGGGGGGGGGGGGGCGUUGUACAGCUCUUUGCCUUUAAGGCCUGAAACCCAAAAGAUGUUUGAUAUUUGAUUUUGGCGUAAACGAUUUACAUGUGCAUGGUUGAGGCCGAUUGAGGGAAGAUAAGAAGCACAAUAUUCAUGCAGCAUAUAUGUGUGUGUGUGUGUGUGUUUGCACCUUUCUGCAUGUCCGGGAGAGGAGAAAGAGAAGGCUGGUUGUGAUUGAUUCUCCCUUCGUUUCCCAUUGUGCGCAUCAUCUAAGGGAGACACGGUGAUCUUGAAUACAAUUAGGAAAACUCUGCCCUGACAUUUCUGUAAUCAAACAGUCCACGGGGGGAGAAAUGAGAACGUCGGGCCGAGCUGCUGCAUCUGCACUUUCAUCUAUUGCUCUUUCCCACCCCGUCAGUUUUCUGUCGAUGUGAGGGAUGUGUUUACAAAAUUGGGUCGAUGACAGGUCUGACUUAUCAGGCCUGAGUCAUUUAGUAUCUUAUCUGGGCAUUACAUAUAGAAAAUGCUUGGUCUUAAAUCAAAUAUCGACGAGCAAUGCUUGCAAUAUUGUUUUGUUCAUUUUUACAUGAGCAAAACUUUAAGGUAAUGUUUUCCAAUGUAUCAAAAAUGUUUGCAUAAGCAUUAUCAGUACUGUAAAACUCUGUCAAACUGUCAGAGUAAGCGUCGAUGCAACUUGUAAACCAGGCUCAAAGAAAUCCUGCUCCGUCUCAGCUUAGUCGAAGUGAAAUAUGGACUGACUCUUUUUUUUUAGGCGACGGUAAGCAAGGUCUUUCACACCCGAAUGCCUGAGUGGUAAACUAAAGGGAAAAAAUUUAGAUAUAUCUACAAAACACCCCUUUUCCAGCCAGCAAAAGUUUUAAAGGGACUUAUGAUGAGGAUGCUGUGGAUGUUCUUUGUCUUUAAAAUGUCAAAUGUAAGAUAAACUCACAUCACAAACAAAACAAUACAGCAACAAGCGAUGUAGCAAAACAAGCUAAAUCCAAGAACAUUUGGUAGGAGGAGGGUUGAUCGCUUUCUUGAGGUUUGAGGGGUUACAUUUGAGUUGAAUUUAGAUCAAGCAACCUUAGCUGUCGUAUAUACAUCAGAAGAAGACUCACAAUCUCAGCUUCAAGCAACAAACAAUUACAAAUGAAAAGUACUCUUGAAUACUAUCAAUAGAAAAUGUAUUUGACAGCAAAGCCGUUGGUGUAAAAGGUGUCUGUUUGGAUAAUAUAAUAGAUAGAUAUUAGAUAAAAUAGCAUGCAUAUUGGUUGCACUAAAGCCCAAACAACCUUCUGGAGGAUGUAGAUAGCAGGUGAGUGAAGUUAGUAUUCACAAAAACAAGUACACUCUAUGCUAUACCAAUUACCGUGUCUCCACAAUGGGAACCAAUAAGCGAGAUAAUUAAUGCUCAAGUUCUGUUAUUCAGCCAUUGAUCAAUGGGCAACAAUACAAUCUGUAAGCAAUUACUCAUUCCAAAUGAGUUACUACUAAUUACAUUAGUUUACUAAUGACUCAGCAGCGAAAUAACAGCUUAAAUUACUUGUAACUUUACUUUCAUUACGCAGCUUUCGGCUUCUUAAAGGUGCAGAUAAAAAUCGUCUUAAAACCCACCCACAUGAAUCUUUUUUUUUCAGACCUAUGCAGAAAUAGAAAAUAAUACCUGGAGUUUUAAAAAAGUUUCAAGAAGGCCUAAAACUCCCAUCUAGUCAUCUAUAUUGUGACUGGACAAAGCUCUCCACAAGUACCGAACUCCACUACACACUCUCCAGCUCUAAAGUAUUACUACGGUUUAAAAAUGACAAUACCAGCACCAAUAUCAGGGUUAGGGUUAGAAGGGGUCACUAAAAGCCUUGGAAACGUCAUGGAUAGAAGUCUGCUUAAAAAUGACCCAAUACAUGAGAUACUUCAAAAUCAGCCCCAGCAUGGUGUGAUGUGAUUUGAUGUGAGUCUUUUCUAACCAACCUUCAAUUGGUUAGUACUAAGGAUUGACGAGGAGCCAGCUGGGCCACUUUGGUAAAGGGUAGGAAACUUAAAACAACAACAAUUAAUGGAUUUAGUUAAUACUACAAAUCGUUACAACUUAAUCAUGCACAAUAAAUCCCAACAUAUUGAUGGCUUGGGAGCAGUAUUCUCUUGAUUACUGGUGGUUUCAAAAGGUUGACAGAUGUUUUCAGUCUGAUUAUUUGUGCUUGUUCUGUGCACGGAUGGACUGUGUAAGUGAGGGCAGACUGUGCGAAGUGUACACAGUUAGCUGCUCACAUUAAUAGUUAAACAUACAAAAGGAAUUAUGCACAGAAUCGUGUUGGCAGCGUUAUGCAUAUUAAUGUGGGUUUACAUUGUGGUGGUUUAUGCUCCAACUAUGUAUUUUCUAAGACACCAGGCUCUAUUGUUAACAGAGCGAAUGCAUUUUAGCUGCUGUGCUCUAAAAGGCAAAAGGUCAUCUCCGAAUGUAGAACAAUUAAGGUCACACAGAUUAAACAUUUUCAAACAGCAUAAAAGAAGAUGAAAAGCAUCAAUUUCAAUUGUACUUUACAGAUCGUAUUGCUAAUUUAAUGCAAUAUAUUGUAAUGUUCUCUGCUCUGUUUUAUAUUUAUUAGCAAGCCAUCAGGUAGACAUGUGUUCUGCUCAGUGUACCCACGCUCUCAGCGUUUGGCUCGUCAUCUUCUUCUCAUCUGCUUUUUUUUCUCAGCCAACAAGACAAGUUGAGCAUGGGGGAGCCUGUUGCCAGGCAACAGGCCAGAGUGUAUGAUUAAAACUUUGAUUUCCAAUCUAUCACCUGAGAGACUGAUGUGUUUUUUUUUUCUCCACGGAUGCUCUGCAGAGCAGCCGGGAUGAGCACAGCAGCUCCAUACAUGCCAAAUGGAUCUUUACUGUGAAAUGAAACAUUUGGCUCCUAUGAAGCUGGGCUUCCUCAUCCUCGCACAACUUGACAUGGAGCUACACGUCCAGAAUGUCAAACUCGUGCUCACGAAAACCGGGUUUGUUUGUGGACUUUGGAUGAAGGUUUCCUCCCCCUCACUCCUUGUCCCGCCGCUUUGUACCUGAUACUAGACUCCAGACAAAAGCAGCUCUUGUUCGGGUACCACACGGAUAAACGGAUGAACAAAAACAUCGUACACGUCCGCUUUGUUGAACGAAAAUGCCCCCACUGAUUGAGGUGUUACAACUUGGUUUGGUCAUUAUGACGGAUUCUAAUCCGUCUGAGAUGCUCUUAUGUUCUGGGUGAUUUUUUGGGGAGAGGAACGGUAAGCGGAGGAACUGUAGCAUAGGUGUGUAUGUGUGUGUGUGUGUGUGUGUGUGUGUGUGUGUGUGUGUGUGGGUGAGAGAGCCUCUUCUGGGUGUCAAGGCACAGUUUGGCCUCUGGCCAUUCAGUAAUACAUGAAUGACAUAUUUACCCCUGGCAAGGCAUAACUAAAAAAUGGCAUGUGUGUGUGUGUGUGUGUGUGUGUGUGUGUGUGUUUUUGUAUGUGUGUAAAAAAAAAAAAAAAAACAUGCUCAUGUUCAAUGUGUGUAUGCUAGCAGUCAGGGGAUUCAUCUAAACGCUCCCCUCUGGCAUCCAGAGCAUCCCAGCCAGGUAGGGAAUCAAAUCUAGGGGGGGCCAAAGAUAAGAUAAGAUAAGAUGGCGGCAGAGAGAGAGUCAGCGAUGCGACGAAAGUGAGAUGAGAUGAGAGGAGGAAAAAGUGGGGUUGUGAAAUGUGAGAGACAUGUUGUGGCUUCAGGAGACGAGAUGCAAUAAUAUACCGACCGGAGAUUGGAAUUGAGAAAGACACAUUAAGGGACUUGACAGUGGCCCCCAGAUUCGAUUGGGGAGAUUGGAAAGGAGAAGAGGAGGUGAGGAGAUGUGCAGAGGUUUGACAUAAACAAGCAUGUCAGUAUGACAGACGGCAGAACCACAGCGGACAGAGAAUUCAUCGAUUCACACUAUGUUGUUUGUGAUCAACAGAUGGCCGUUCGAAAGCCACAAAAGGCAGAGGGAAGUUAAAGGUAACAGAGUAUUUUGAGCAAUUUCGAGACAGGUAAAAAAAAGACAUUGAAAGACAUCGACAACGGCUGCCAAUCAGACCAAAGCCAGUUACAGAACUGUCUGCGAAAAGGUAAAAAUCAUCAACCGGAUCUACCAUUGUUUUUAUGACGUGGUUUAAAGAUUUGUUCCAAUAACCUUUUUGCGAAUUAAAAAAAAGGUUAAAAAAUAGAGCUAACUAAGAACACUGAUUUGGUAAUUUGGUGCAUUUUUGGAGUAGAGUGCACCUGUACAUGGUAUGAAAGAUAGUUGACCGACUCAUUUCAAGCAAAAAACGUUAUUUAUAUGUUUUUUGUGGCAUCAUCAAUGCAACAAUAUACAGACACAUUUGAACAGGACCCUCACUCCAUUGGCCUCGGUGCAACUGCCUCGCCUCAAGUGUCUGUGUUUUACAACCUUGGUGUCAUUGGCUUUGGCUCCAUUGUUUCAGCCUCACCUGAAGCCCUUUGGCUUGUUGCACUGCAUUCCUGUCCUGCGGUUUUUGGAUUUCUCAGUAAUCUCUUCUGUUUAAGGCUGAUAUCCGCUUGGAUGAUCCGGAGGAGCUCUCCCACACGGCGCAUCCUGGACUUCACUUAGCACCUCUCAGCGUGUUGCAUCUGUCAUCUGUGGAGGAAGAGUCACACAGAGCCGUUGCAGAAGGACCUUGGACGUAUCCGCAGGUCCUGCUCAGCGAGGCUGUUCAAGAGAGCAGAACAGGGAAACCCUGAAAGUGUGAUAGAAGCAAAUUAAUGGCUGCAAUCGUUUUUUUUUUAUUAAGUGUUUGGACUGCCACCAUCUAUCUGUGCUCCGUUCUCACAAUUACACUGUGCAUGCACCAACAAUAACAAGUAGCAUACCGACGCAUUUGGGAAAAAAAGCACUUAUGUGGUGACGAUUUCACUUGUGUCACAGGUCUUUUACUCCUCCUUCAUCAACGAAUUCAAAGAUGUCUUCUGUUUGUGUAACACAAGGUAUAAAAAGAAGGCUAAGAGUCCCCCCGAAAUGUCCCUUAAGGCUUUGUGUUCAUUGUUUGGAGACAUGGCGUGUUGUUACUAUGGAAACCAAGCAGCCUGUCUCACAAAACAGUGUAACUUUGUUGAAUAAAAACUUCCAAAUCAUAGUCUGAAGUAAAAUAAAACGGGAUAAUCCGCAUGGCUCAGUAACACUGACUUGCACCGCAGACAAUCCCCAAGGGCCAAACCGAGAUUUUGUUUAUAGAUUGUAAAGAAAAAGCUGAGAAAUGAUUAGAUGGAUGAAAAGUGCAUUGCCGAGCAUCUGACCUUUAUUUGCAGUCAACCUGCCUGUUCCUGCCAAGAAUGAUUUACCUUGUUAAUAAUACCGCAUCCAGCUAUCCCGCUCUGUAACAAUGUGGUGGAUCAGAAACGUAUAUAUUUUGUCACAUAAUAGCGUAAUAUUUAAUUAGCUUACUUUCUGUAUCAGUUUUCUUUGGUAAAAAGCUAUUUUACCCACAUGCUCAGCUUUAUCAGCUUUACUUUGCAAUCCUCUCUUUUCACUCAAUUUUGAUAGAUCAUAUAAACUAUUUUUGUGGCUGGUUGUAAAGUGAGCAACCACGUCAUUUUCCCAUUGGGAAAUUACUUUCAAACAGGCAGCUGAUUGGAAUGAUGCUUUCAGUUUUUUUACGUGAGUUGCUGCUGCAUCCCCAAAACUUUCUUCCUCAAGUCUGUGUGUUGUUUGAAGGAUAAUAAGCUGCAGUCAUUGGCCAACAUCUUUAAUUAAAAUAUAGCACACGGGUGUCCCGACUAUAUACAAUACAAUAAAAACCUUGGAAAGCAAAGCUGGAGUCUCAUCAGCUUUAAGUGCUUCUUGGUGCUGUUAAUAUUAUGGACUGAAAAGACUGAUGAUUUGCAAUAAUUUCACGAGGAGAAUAAAAUACUAUAUGGAUUAAUUUAAUGCCACUACAAUUAACCUCAGUUUUAUAAGUGCCAUUCGUAUUAUUUCUUGACUAUACAUAAUAAUAAUGAUGAUUUAUAUUCCUUGAGGCUAUUUUGAGUUUUAACUAAAAAGAAUUGCACACGUGGCAAGUAACAACAUAUACAACAGAUAGUCAUCAUGUCGGCUACAACAAACAGACAAUAAGCCAGAUGCACACAGAUGCAUCGUUUUUGUUUUUUUUACCAACCUGUCUCCCAGGAUCUCAGGGGUUUGCUUUUGGUCAAUCAAAUCCACACAUGGUGAGGCCUUCGCUCAGCAGUGAUGGCGUAGAAGUCACUCGGUGAGCAGUGGAGCCACGGAUUGUGGGAAAAUGUAAGUCCCUUCCCUUUUUGCAGACCUACAAAAGUGGCCAGAAACCUAAUGAUGAAAUGUGGCUUUAGUUUAAAGCGUCAAUGGGAAGGAGUGAGUUGGUCUGCUGCCGCUGCUGCUGCUUCAUCCACUGUGGGGCCGACUGGUGGCCGAGUGUGAUUGAAGCGAAAUGACUGAUAGUUUGAUUUUACAAAUACCCGAGGAGCUCAACAAAGCACCGUAUCCAGCAGGCGUCACCCGCUCUGGGAUUGGUGUUGUGUGUUCAUUCGACCAGUCCCCACAAAAACAGCUGGCUUGGAGCUUUUUCAUUACACCCAGUGAAGUUGAUUGCAUUUCCUCCAGUACUUUGUGAAGUUUCUAAAUGGAGCCACUAUCCAGGCUUGCCAUUUAGUCACAGCCAUCAGCGGGCGCUGAGACCAGCCUGUGUGGAGAAGCCAAGAAAAUGAAGCCAUCGUCAGGGGAUCAACUUGGGACAAAUGUUUUAACUUUAAAUAUCUCUCUGCCCGAGUGUCAUGAAAUCAGAACAGGGACAUGAUGUAGACUGAACACAAUAAACUUCUAUAUCCUGCUGCCAAAAACAGCAGAGAGAUAGAGACACGUAAUCACAGUUUUUGGGCAACUGAGAAAUCAAACGUCUGGCUCUAGUGAGAGGAGUGUGAACACAUCGCUCUUAAAGUAACGAUACAUCAUGGGAAAUCAGCCGAUCGAAUGCAUUAUGCAUCAAAGUGCAUUCUAAGAGAGUGAAAAAGAGAAUGGAAAGGUCAAUUGUUGUUGCAUAGUUGGGUUUACUGUUGAAUAUAAAGCUGAAUUCUGACCAUGGAUGACAAUCUACUUCCACUUCGGGCCUGAAGCCAAAAGAUUGUGAAUAAAUAUUAAGACAGAGAACAUGGGAUCUCACUCUGUAUCACUUCACAUCGAACAUCGAAGUCUUGCAUGCAAAGGUAGUGUUCACUUUAGAUACGUAUGAGCAAACUGUGUAUACCACUGAAAAAAAUAAAGAAAAAUGUAUAAUGGACAUGGAGAAUAAUUUGAAGAUAUAUUUCAUAUUGAUGUGUUGUCAAUACUCUAUAUUUAUAUAUGUUUAUAAUUAUUUAAUAAAAACAAAUCAGCAUUGUGAGCCUGAGAGCAAUGCGAUUGGGGCAAAGUGUCAAUGAUUAUCUCAGCAAUUAUGUGGAGAAUCUUAAAAAUUGGCACAAGACUUGUUGAAGACAGAAUAACUAGGGCCAACGAGAUGAGUUAGACAAUAGCUUUUGGAAUGCAAUAGGCAAAAAAAAAAAGAAUUGUACAUGCAUGCUAAUUAAUUUUGCCACCUUUGCAUUGCUCCCUGCCACUUGUCUUUCACGUGAACUGAAAUAAGCCUUAGCUACAGGGAGUGUGGCAAAAUACCUUGAAUAGAAUUAGCGAUGUUUUAAAUAUCCCCUAAUCUCCAUAAAUAAGUAGAUGUUUUAUGGAUGACUUAUUCAUAAUUCAUCUUCCUUCCAACUCCAAGCGGGGCGGGAGUACAAGUGCUAAGCAAUUCUCAUUAAGAAUUAACAAUGGGCUCAACUGAUGGUAUUAUUGACCCCACACAAAGCUGAUUACUUCCCACUAAGUUGUGUAUUGUGUUUAAAACGUGAGAACUGAAGAAUUGAGCAGACAUUGUAUUGUAACACGUAUAUCAAAUUUUGAGAGACAAACAAAAGCAGCUGCCAUCCAAUUUAUGGAUACUCCAGGUGCAAGGUAGUGCACAUUAACAUGAUGCUCUGAGUUUGGAAUUGUGGGUGCAAAAUAUUGUUUUCACUUUUCAUGACACAAUCAUACAGCAGGCUUGAGAAAUGCUGAACGGAAACGAGGACUUACAGUUUAAAAUACUGCAUUUGUUGCUGCUCAAUAUUAUGAGAAUACGCUAAAAAUAGCCAGAAAUACCAACUAGAAAUUGUAUGCCUCCAAAUUUUGCAGAUUGCAUCUUUGUCUAUUCAAAAUGUCAUCACAUUUUAUUCUAUAUAUGACAUGAGUGAUGAAGGUAAGCCUACACUUGGAAU